GGGCCGGGGACCCCUGUUCGAGCUCCAGUCCCCCUCUACCAAGCUUCAUCAGGCAACCAUCACUUUGGGCAGAUGAAGCCCAGAGAUUUGGCCAAAGCCACACAUCGAGGCUGAGGCAGAGCCAGGACUGGACCGUAGGUGCUCUGCGUCCAGCAACCUGGGACUCGCAGGCACUGUUCCAAGCUCUAGGAUACAGAAGCAAGAAUUCAAUCAGUGUGCAGAUGGAUGGCCUUAAAAAAGGCCAGGUGUGGUGUCUCAUGCCUGUAAUCCCAGCA
rnacentral:lncRNA from 10 species